CCACGGUUACAGCCAAGUAGCGCGUUGUUGCCACGCCAUUUUGUUCAGGUUCCCCAAGAGUUGAAGUGCAGGGGCCUGAGCAGUUGUUUGUACGCAGGUGUGGCUGGUUGGUGGGCUGUGGCUCAGGAGGUAAACAGACAACCAGACCAGUGUUUUCUGGUGCCUGAGGUUGCAAGCAUGGUGGCACUGGCUGCUUCUUGGGGUAAGCGUGAUGCUGCAGUUAGGUACACAGUCUUUAGCUUGUGUUGGACUCGCAGUACUCUGCGGGGAUGGAGCAGAAAGCAGGUGUUCAGGGGGGUAAAUGGUUUUGGACCCCCCUCAAGUCAUAAGGAGUCUGGCUUGACUUCCUGUAGGGCCCCUUCAAGCUUUUUAGCAGUUCUGCUGCUCAUGACGCCACUGUGUCGUUGUUUGGUGUCAGGUUUUCACCUUUGGCUUUCUCUGGCGUGUAACUAGCUGGAUGCUGGUUGCUCGAGCUCCUGGCUACUGCAGGUUGGUCAUUCCUUGGCUGCUGUUAGGCUCCUUUUGGCCUGCUUGUGGUGAGUGGUUUGUCCCAGUGUGUCUCUGAACAUCCUGUCUGGUGUUGGGACAUGCGCCUUCCUGGCGGUGCUGUCCUCUGCUGGCGGAGAAAGGCUUUAACUCACUGUUUGGAAGUCUUGCGGCUGGGAAACAGUAACGUGCCUUUUAAAGUCAGCUCCGGAUGAGAUUCUGAGACAGGGUAGCUCGUAGGUGUUUGAUAGUCUUUCAAAGCAGUCUUUGUUUUGAACAGAUUUUAUGAGCUAAACUCUGCCGCUGUUGGGUGGUCAGGGCGUGGGGGCAGGGCAUUGCCCGUGUGCGGACUCACCACAGAAAGCAGGCUUUUGAGAGAGCGAGGAUCUGGAAGGUGAACUCCUCCUCCGUCCGUGGCUCAUUUCCUGUCUCGAAGUAGGGUUGGUGUAGUCGACUGCAGUAUGCUUGUGAGGUCUCUUGGCUGUUCUGAGAUCCAUGGCGACAAUCAGUCCUUAAUCUGACACGGGGUCAGGUAAAACACUCUAGUAAGAGCUCUUGCAUCGGCUCGUAAUCUGCUUUGAUGGCACGGCGCUGUUGAUUCAGGAAACUUCUUGCCUCACGGCUCGAAGUUUCCUUAAUCUGACACGGGGUCAGGUAAAACACUCUAGUAAGAGCUCUUGCAUCGGCUCGUAAUCUGCUUUGAUGGCACGGCGCUGUUGAUUCAGGAAACUUCUUGCCUCACGGCUCGAAGUAAUUCUUAGCAGAUACAGUUUGUCACAGAGAGUGGUUCUUGGCCUCUGUGUAAAAGUGUAAAAGUCAAUGUCUUAAAAUUAGGAGUGCGUGUUGUCGCCUUCAGCAAGGUUUGGGGUGAAAGUUGGCAUUUCCCUGGCCAGCUGGUUCAAAGUCUUUGGUCUUAGAUGGUGUCUGUCGUGGGGGACCCCAUUGGAGGGAGUCCUGGCCCUGUGUUGCUGAUGGGCGUUGCUGGAAUGCUGGCUGGCGGGGCGGUAUGAGUUGGAUUCACCCCCCUCUGCUGGUCUAUCCAGUCUUGGCUUUUGGGGCUGACUGUGGCACUUCCCUUUUCAGGUAGUCACAUGGGUUGUAGGAAUGUGACAGUUCUGGGUGAACUCUGUCAAGUUCAUGCAUAAAGUCUUUUAGUUGGGUUCCGUGUUGGAAUUUUGCUUGGGCCCUCAGCUGUUGACUUCAGAGGCUUUGACCCGAGCUUCACUGUCUUUAGUUCUGCUCUUUACAAUAGUGUUUCAGCUUGUAGCUUUACACUCAGUUCAUCUUUGGCUUUCUCCUCUCGUCGCUCCUUGUGUGCGUUGUCCGCUUGUAGCUCCAUCGGGGCGCGCUGUAGUCCGUCCAUUUGCUCCAAAAGUUCGGCGUCCUUUUCCCUCGUCGUCUUGCAGGCGUUCUGGGCUCGAUGCUCCAGCUGGUUGAGACCCUUUCCUAUGGGUCUGGCCGGUGCAAGGGUGAGGUGUGUCAGGGCCCUGGAGAGUUGAGUCUGGGCUUGGCUGUCAUGGCUCCGGGCUAGGUCGUUCGCCCUCAGCGGAUUAAUGCAGACGUCCAGCUGUUCUCUGCUUGGCCGCUGCA